rnacentral:rRNA from 1 species
GACGGAGGGUGCAAGCGUUGUUCGGAAUUACUGGGCGUAAAGCGUACGUAGGCGGCGGAUUAAGUCGAAAUGUUAAAGCCUGGGGCUCAACCCCAGAGAUGCAUUCGAUACUGGUCUGCUAGAGGGUGAUAGAGGAAAGCGGAAUUCCCAGUGUAGCGGUGAAAUGCGUAGAUAUUGGGAGGAACAUCAGUAGCGAAGGCGCUUUCUGGGUCACACCUGGACGCUGAGGUACGAAAGCGUGGGGAGCAAACGGG